rnacentral:rRNA from 1 species
GUGAGGAAUAUUGCGCAAUGGAGGCAACUCUGACGCAGCCAUGCCGCGUGCAGGAAGAAGGCGCUACGCGUUGUAAACUGCUUUUAACCGGGAAGAAACCCCAGGACGUGUCCUGGGUUGACGGUACCGGAGGAAUAAGCACCGGCUAACUUCGUGCCAGCAGCCGCGGUAAUACGAAGGGUGCAAGCGUUAUCCGGAUUCAUUGGGUUUAAAGGGUGCGUAGGCGGAGCGUUAAGUCAGUGGUGAAAUCCUGCAGCUUAACUGUAGACUUGCCAGUGAUACUGGCGAUCUUGAGUGCGCUUGAAGUGGGCGGAAUGUGCCGUGUAGCGGUGAAAUGCUUAGAUAUGGCACAGAACACCAAUUGCGAAGGCAGCUCACUAAGGCGAUACUGACGCUGAGGCACGAAAGCGUGGGGAUCGAACAGGAUUAGAAACCCCGGUAGUCC